rnacentral:sRNA from 1 species
CAAAAAUAUAAAUUCAAAUGUAAAAUCAAAUAUUUUGAUUUUUCCAUAACAUAUUUGCUAUCGUUUCUCGAAUGUUUGCCAUAUGUUGUCCUUCUUCAUUCUCUACUUCAUCAAGCUCAAAUGAUGCAUUGUUCUGAUCUUCAGUUUGAGUCACGGUAAAUUUUUCAACAAAUCUGCAUCUGUAAAAUUUGAAACUCUAAUAAAAUUAUAGAGACUUAUUGUUGCGAAUAUUUUAACGCAUUAUUUCAAUUUAAAACUAAUAUUAAAUAUGGCAGAAUUGAAAAAAAAUGAUACUUUACGAAUUUAUGUAAGCUUAAUUUAAAAUAUGGCAAAACAAGUCGAAGUAUUAAUUUAAAAUAUUUCUAAAAUAUCAAAAAGUUAUAUUAUAUUAUGUUACU